CGUAUCUAGUGAUGCAACGGUGCUCGG
rnacentral:sRNA from 1 species